UACGGAGGGAGCUAGCGUUGUUCGGAAUUACUGGGCGUAAAGCGCACGUAGGCGGCUUUGUAAGUUAGAGGUGAAAGCCCGGGGCUCAACUCCGGAUCUGCCUUUAAGACUGCAUCGCUUGAAUCCGGGAGAGGUGAGUGGAAUUCCGAGUGUAGAGGUGAAAUUCGUAGAUAUUCGGAAGAACACCAGUGGCGAAGGCGGCUCACUGGACCGGUAUUGACGCUGAGGUGCGAAAGCGUGGGGAGCAAACAGG
rnacentral:rRNA from 1 species